rnacentral:rRNA from 1 species
CAGUCGCCACGGGAAUACGAAGGGGGCUAGCGUUGCUCGGAAUGACUGGGCGUAAAGGGCGCGUAGGCGGAUUGCGCAGUCAGAUGUGAAAUUCCUGGGCUUAACCUGGGGGCUGCAUUUGAGACGCGUAGUCUAGAGUGUGAAAGAGGGUCGUGGAAUUCCCAGUGUAGAGGUGAAAUGCGUAGAUAUUGGGAAGAACACCGGUGGCGAAGGCGGCGACCUGGUUCAUGACUGACGCUGAGGCGCGAAAGCGUGGGGAGCAAACAGGAUUAGAUACCCCCGUAGUCCCUGUCUCUUAUAC